rnacentral:rRNA from 1 species
UACGGAGGAUCCAAGCGUUAUCCGGAUUUAUUGGGUUUAAAGGGUGCGUAGGCGGCCUGUUAAGUCAGGGGUGAAAGACGGUAGCUCAACUAUCGCAGUGCCCUUGAUACUGAUGGGCUUGAAUUGACUAGAGGUAGGCGGAAUGUGACAAGUAGCGGUGAAAUACAUAGAUAUGUCACAGAACACCGAUUGCGAAGGCAGCUUACUAUGGUCUUAUUGACGCUGAGGCACGAAAGCGUGGGGAUCAAACAGG